GAUGAACGCUAGCGGCAGGCUUAACACAUGCAAGUCGAGGGGUAUAGGUUUUCGGACCUAGAGACCGGCGCACGGGUGCGUAACGCGUAUGCAAUCUACCUUUCACAGAGGGAUAGCCCAGAGAAAUUUGGAUUAAUACAUCAUAGUAUAGCAGUUCCGCAUGAAACCACUAUUAAAGUUGCAAUGGUGAAAGAUGAGCAUGCGUCCCAUUAGCUAGAUGGUAAGGUAACGGCUUACCAUGGCGCCGAUGGGGAGGGGGCUUGCUAGGGAGCUCCCACACACUGGUACAGAGUCACGGGACGGACUCCUACGCUAGGUAGCAGUGACGAAUAUUAGUCAAUAGACACAAGUCUGAACCAGCUAUGCGGCGUGCAGGAUGACUGUCCUAUGGAUUUUAAACUGCUUUUGUACUAGAAGAAACAUCGUUACGUGUAAUGUCUUGACGGUAUCAUAAGAAUAACGAUCGGCUAACUCCGUGCCAGCAGCCGCCGCCGUAA
rnacentral:rRNA from 1 species